rnacentral:rRNA from 1 species
CCUACGGGUGGCAGCAGUCGAGAAUCAUUCACAAUGGGGGAAACCCUGAUGGUGCGACGCCGCGUGGGGGAAUGAAGGUCUUCGGAUUGUAAACCCCUGUCAUGUGGGAGCAAAUUAAAAAGAUAGUACCACAAGAGGAAGAGACGGCUAACUCUGUGCCAGCAGCCGCGGUAAUACAGAGGUCUCAAGCGUUGUUCGGAAUCACUGGGCGUAAGGCGUUCGUAGGCUGUUUCGUAAAUCGUGUGUGAAAGGCGCGGGCUCAACCCGCGGACGGCACAUGAUACUGCGAGACUAGAGUAAUGGAGGGGGAACCGGAAUUCUCGGUGUAGCAGUGAAAUGCGUAGAUAUCGAGAGGAACACUCGUGGCGAAGGCGGGUUCCUGGACAUUAACUGACGCUGAGGCACGAAGGCCAGGGGAGCGAAAGGGAUUAGAUACCCUUGUAGUC